GCAGCACCUGACGUGGAGGACAAGGAGGCCCUCAGGGCACUACUGUGAAAAGGAGACUCCCCAGACAAGCCAAGAGAUUUGUGUCCCUGGAAACAUAAGCGUCUCACUCAGCCAGUGCCACAGGACACCCUCUUCUAGACGCCCCCCCCCCGACACCCUCCUCCCCGCCACACCAACUAAUCAGCCGCGGGAUCCGGGCCAGUGUGCACAAUGUGCCCGCAAAAUUGCCAGUUGGGUCCCCGCUGCUGAGAUGGUGACUGUGGGCCAAAGGAAAGUGGACCCAGCGCAAGGCGGCCAGCUGGAUGGAGCAGCAGACCCGAAGAGAAUCCGCUUGUACGAGCCGAGGGUGAACUAUGCUAACUAAUCAGCAUUUCAGGUCCUCUAACAUCAGAGGAACUUUAAUUUCAAUUGGCAUAUAUGCCUGUAUAAAAAAAGGAUUCCACAAAAUAUCAACUCAUUUAAUUUCCAAUCCUAUAUCCUUUCGCUGAGAUGAGAAGGAAUAAAUCAAAUCCCCAAAUGUGCUCCGAA